rnacentral:rRNA from 1 species
AAAAGGCUGGCGCUACGCGAGUACUGGUCCGGCUGGACCUUUCCUUCUGGGGAACCUCAUGGCCUUCACUGGCUGUGGGGGGAACCAGGACUUUUACUGUGAAAAAAUUAGAGUGUUCAAAGCAGGCCUUUGCUCGAAUACAUUAGCAUGGAAUAAUAGAAUAGGACGUGUGGUUCUAUUUUGUUGGUUUCUAGGACCGCCGUAAUGAUUAAUAGGGAUAGUUGGGACG